GAACAGAAAACAAAUUUCGGACGUACAUGCAAGUUUGAUAAGACUCACAAUGCAAGGGUAAUUUAACUUAAUCCCCCUGCCACUAUGGUGUAAAAACAAGUAAAAUUGUGAGCUUCUGCUCACUGAUGAUACCCCCGCCGCAAGUUGAUAAUAUUAAUAGUGUAAAAAUAUGCAAGUGUUUGGUAAACAGGAAGUUGUCGAGUGAUGAAUCUGAAAACACAUCACACCGUAUAGCUGACUUAUAUUAAUCCUUUAACCAAAUUUCAGAAAUCCUUGUUUUGUAGUUCCUGAGAAAAAUGUGACGAAAAUUUUGAACUUGGCU
rnacentral:lncRNA from 1 species